rnacentral:rRNA from 1 species
GGGGAAUAUUGCACAAUGGGCGGAAGCCUGAUGCAGCAACGCCGCGUGAGGGAUGACGGCCUUCGGGUUGUAAACCUCUUUUAGCAGGGAAGAAGCGAAAGUGACGGUACCUGCAGAAAAAGCGCCGGCUAACUACGUGCCAGCAGCCGCGGUAAUACGUAGGGCGCAAGCGUUAUCCGGAAUUAUUGGGCGUAAAGAGCUCGUAGGCGGUUUGUCGCGUCUGCUGUGAAAUCCGGGGGCUCAACCUCCGGCCUGCAGUGGGUACGGGCAGACUAGAGUGCGGUAGGGGAGAUUGGAAUUCCUGGUGUAGCGGUGGAAUGCGCAGAUAUCAGGAGGAACACCGAUGGCGAAGGCAGAUCUCUGGGCCGUAACUGACGCUGAGGAGCGAAAGGGUGGGGAGCAAAC